UGCAUCAAGGCAAGCUUGAAGUUGCACUGCCUCAUUGCAGUUGAUAGAUGAUAUUGGGGUUGAUCCAGAUAAACCACUAGCCAAAGCAAUGACUGUAUCGUUGGUGCUAGUAUCUCCAUCUACCUGUGGCAAAACCAAUCUGAACCAGGUAAAUAUCUAAGUAGAAACACAAGAGAAGACCAAUCAAAUGAUUUGAUAAAGAAAAACAAUGCAUUCCUACAGGCAAGAAUCUCUCUCAAGUCUUAACAUAGAGCAAUGCGAUUCAUAUGCAAAGGGUAUGCAUGUGAAAUAAAUAUUUGUUCAUAUGGAAGGAUAGUAAAUUUAAGUAUCACUGCAGCAUUGGGGGAAGCGCAAAUGCAGGAUUGCACUCUACAAAAGCAAAGGAGUUUCAGGAUAACCCAUGUAAAAGAGAACUGUGCAGAAUAGAGGGAGAAUGUUAAUUUUAUGUAGUUUGGCAAUGUCAAAAUUCAUAGCUCAACUAAAUUUAUAAAGCCAUUGUCAUCAGAGCUAAACCCAUUGGAACUUUUAAGUGGCACAACACAACAAAUUACUGUAACCAUUUAAAUGGCAAAAUUCUCAAGUAAAGCAACACUUGCCAUUGUGAUAUUCCAUUAUUUAUCCUUCAAGCACAAGAAUGGCA
rnacentral:misc_RNA from 1 species